rnacentral:rRNA from 1 species
GGUACCUGAUGCAGCCAUGCCGCGUGUGUGAAGAAGGCCUUCGGGUUGUAAAGCACUUUCAGUUGUGAGGAAAAGUUAGUAGUUAAUACCUGCUAGCCGUGACGUUAACAACAGAAGAAGCACCGGCUAACUCCGUGCCAGCAGCCGCGGUAAU